UACGUAGGGGGCAAGCGUUGUCCGGAUUUACUGGGCGCAAAGAGCGUGUAGGCGGCCAAACAGGUCCGUUGUGAAAACUGGAGGCUCAACCUCCAGACGUCGACGGAAACCGUGUGGCUAGAGUCCGGAAGAGGAGAGUGGAAUUCCUGGUGUAGCGGUGAAAUGCGUAGAGAUCCGGAGGAACACCGACGGCGUAGGCAGCGCCCUGGCCGUUUCCUGACGCUGAUGCACGAAAGCUGGGGGAGCAAACAGG
rnacentral:rRNA from 1 species